CACGUAGGCACCAAGCGUUGUCCGGAUUUAUUGGGCGUAAAGAGCUCGUAGGCGGUUCGGUAAGUCGGGUGUGAAAACUCUGGGCUCAACCCAGAGCCGCCACCCGAUACUGCUGUGACUCGAGUGCGGUAGGGGAGCGGGGAAUUCCUGGUGUAGCGGUGAAAUGCGUAGAUAUCUGGAGGAACACCGGUGGCGAAGGCGGCAUCCUGGACCGGCAUUGACGCUGAGGCGCGAAAGCCAGGGGAGCAAACGGG
rnacentral:rRNA from 1 species